GAAAGUAGAAGGCAUUAAGGGGUUUUAAGCAUUGGGAGGGAGGUAGUUUGGGGACCGUGUGACGUGAGCAGAUUUGCAUUUCAGAAUGGUCAUUCCAGCUGCAGUGAGAAGGGGCUGGAGGGCUCAGGGUGGAUGUGGGAGGUCCAUCAAGGAGGUAGAUAUUGCCUCCAUUCUGAGCAAGACACAUGGAUGCCAACUUGGACUGGGAGCUGAAAACGGAGCAAAUGAACUGACCAAGCCAGUUUACCAAGGCAGAUGGAUGGGUGGUGCCAUCUGGAAAGAUGGAGCACUGGAAGAUGAUUGGAUUUGGGUGAAAAGAUCCUGAGAUCUGUUUGGGACAGAAUGGGUCUAGGGAGCCUUUGAAGCUUCCAAGUGGAAAUAACAGUGAUGGAUGGGUCUGGGAUGGAGACAUGCAUUUUGAGAGUCAUCUGCACACAGACUGCAAUGGAAGAUAUGGACAUGAACCAGAUUGCUUCAUAUCACCACUUAAAGCCACCUUCUCUCUCCAGUCACUCCACCUGUGCCUGCCCCCCAUGCAGGGAGACAGGUCUCUGCUGCCUCACAGUGACCCCACAGGCCCCUGUACGAGCUCCUGCUGCUACAGUGCCUCUUGUAUUGUUUUACGGCCACUCGCUUACAUGUCCGUUUUCCCCACUUAUGAUCCAGGAACACCGUGAGGACAGAGACACAUGGCUCUCCUUCUGAUGUCCUCAGCACACAGAGCACAUCCUGACCCUUUUGUGAGCAGUAAGUUACAGGCCCACUUUUCCGACCCACCACAAAGCCCCAGUGCAAUGUUCCUCCAGAAAGAGGUGAAAAUGCUGGCCCAGACCCAAGAGCCUCAUCUAAAACCCAGUCUCAGAGUCCUCAGAGGGGAAAGUAUCUCACUUGCACAUAGAAACCAAGAUGGGCACUGAAGAAUUUUAAAAAGAGAAUGGUACUGAUGUUUUCCCACUGUUACUACAGAUAAGCAAGCACUCAGGGAAUUUAUGGGAGAUGGAUUGACAGGUAGAGAAAUGGGUAAGCUCGGUCCUCAAGGAGCUUCCAGUACCAUCUCUUACUCAGAACUCGCUGUGCUCAUUAUAAGUCAAAACAAAGUUAUGUGUAUUUCAUGUGCAAUAUCUACAAAAAGUCAAAGCCUCAGUCCUCAAGGAGCAUAUAAUUUCAAGAAAAUAUAGAACAAACAUAGAUGAAAAUUUAACUCUAUCAAUACACACAGAGCCACCCCUACCCUCUCCAGUGCCUUUUUCUAAUUAGAAAAAGGUGCCUUUCCUCUAGGCAGACAUGGCACCUCAGUCAGCAGGGUAUGUGACUUGGCUGGAUUCUGGAUUUAAGCCCAUGUCCCCCUACACUGACCUGACAUCUUUGUGCAGUGCACAACCUGCACAACACAUAUAUGACAGGAGUAGCAGGUGCUGAUAACAAGGAGGGAUUGAUAUAGGAUGGAUGAACAGAGACUAGCUAGAACUGAUUGGGUAAGAACAGAAGAAACAACUACAAGGAAUGCCAGAGGCAUAUCCAGUGACAAAUCAGAUUUGACCAAGGCAAAGGGUACACUUGAUGGAGUAAGGAAAUGAGAUUGGGAAGCUUAGUUGGGAAGUAAUUAGGGAAGGCCUCAAACACCAGGCUAAGGAGUUUGCACUUGACCUUGCAGGAACUGACCCCUGCCUAGGGUCAUUAUCCUCCUUUCACCAAAGUAGUGCCACAGAGCAUUGGCUGCCAGUAUCAAUUCUCACCAAAGAAAGUGCCCACUUGCACCCUGAAGGUCAUGAAAGAUACCAGGUGACAAGAAAACAACUAAAUAUCUUUGUGCUGACACAGAACCCCUAAUAAGGUCUAAUCCCUUGCAUUUGUAGCCUGCAUAAAAAUAUAUGUUUUAUAUCCAAUAUAUUUAUUGUUACAAUAGUCUCCUUUGAUUAACAGGAUAAGAAAGCAGGGCAAUUAAGGACCUUGGUGAAAGUCAAAGAAAAAAUCCACAGGGGCAAAGCUGUGACUUGAACCCAGGUCUAUCACUCAGAAUCUGAUGCUCAAGGGCACUCAGCCUCCCUGCACUUGCCUCAGCAGGGUCCCUCUCUCACCAGUCACCACACUGACUACUUGAGUUUGCCAGCCCUGGGUCCUUUCCAAGAAAAGACAAAGCUUCCAAACAAGCAGUAAUGACAUUGAUUAUUCCAAGCCAGAGGCAGGGGAUUCUGGAUCAUUUCCUUAAAAUACUUGCUCAGCAGCACCCGGGUCCUCACCCCCACCGCCCCUGGUCCCAAGAAAGAUAUGUACAGUACUUCAUUAACAUGAAGGGGAGAAUAAUUCCCUGUGGAUUUUUGCAGUCUCAUUUCCCUAGCUUGUCAAAUGCCAGCAGCAAGCCAGUCUGGCUGCAUUGUUAGCUUGGCUGCCUCUUAUUUUUGUAGUGUUUUGCAGAUUGCAGCAGCUUUUUUUUUCCAGCUAGGUGAAAACAUAUCACCUUUAAGCUUCCUGGUGUAUCACUCAAAAGAUUUUCCUAUUCUCCUUGGACUUCAUAAUACAGAAUUCUCUUCUGCUAUCACAAGCCAUUUUUUUUUCUCCAAGAAAGAACAUAACAUUUAUUUUUAAUACCAUACUCCAAGAUAUGUGAUCAAAAUGUAAUUUAAAAAAAAAAACAAAUAAAUAAAAGACUUUCCAAUAUGUCACGCAAAAAAUAAAAGACAUGCUGUUCAAAAGCUAAAUUUCAGUCAUCGUAUUUACAUUCCUUUUUUUUCUGCUUCACCCUUUUGUUACUAAGGAAGUUGGAAUGAAAGGGGAUUUGUCUCUUUUUCUCAAAAACCCAUCUCUCGCUGCUAAGUUUCUCCACACCUGAAUUCACACAUCUCCCACAUCAUGAUAAUUACCUCCAUGGUAACCACUCAUGACAUCACAAACACAAUGUGAUAGCAGAAGAAAUAAGAGCUCCUGAGACCCUGCUGGAUACAAAUGCCCUGUACGACCUAAGGGCCUCCACAGCAGGAACAAAAGGAAUUUUGUCUGAGAUUUUAGCAGAAAAGUAAUUUUUGAAAUCUAUUCUUGGAUUUAGACGUUUAUUGGAUUUCAAAGCUUCUUGCUGCCCAGGAGCUUGUGAAUACGGUCAAAGGUCCAUGAAAUUUCCAAAGUGGUACCACAGCAGAUGAACCUGAAUGCAAACUGGAGGGACCAACAGAGUCCAGCCUAUAGACAUAAAUCCUUAACUACACCUAGAUCUCACUGUCUUUUCCAAUGGUCAAAAGAGGGGCUCUUGAAAUGGCUCCAUUGUUUUAUAGAAACAAGGUCUUCCUAAGAAGUCUUUUUCUCCUAUCUUUUUCUUACCCAAAAUAAAGGAAUGGCCCAAAACCUCAAGCCAAGCUUACCAGCUAUAAACAACUUGGUGGUCAGCAGCCAAAAGAAGAGUGGACAUGCCAUGGUCAUGUGGCACGUACCCUAUACAAGCUUCACAGAGAAGAAUGGAAGCACUUGAUUGUAAGACAGAGGGUGAGAUGUGAGAGGAAUAUUAACCUUCACUUUCCACAGGCAUUUUUUUCUGCAAAUGGCACCAGCUUUUGGACUUAAAAUUUUAUUCCAAAUACUAUUUAGAUGCAUCAGGGCCCUCAAAAUAUGGAUUUCAAGUUGGAGACAUCAAAGUGCAUUAUUUACUAAAACCACUGCAGCUUUUUUCCCCUCUCCUUUCACAAGAUGCUAUUGUAAAUUCAGGCUGCUUUAAUCUCUGUGAUUAAAAAAAAAAAGGAAGAAAGAAAAAAAAAGUGCUGCUUGAAGAGGAACUGAACUCACAAUCUGGGAGCUAGAAAGUAAAUAUUACCCAGAGAGUACCUCACUUUAAUUACUGGCCUGAACAUUGGUUUCAAUUUACAUGUAUUUUAAUUAGCCACAGAAGGGUUCACCUAUUACUCUCUGAAUACAAAACUUAAAAAGCAAACAGAAAAUAGGGAAAGAAAGGCUUAUUUAAGGGCCUCCAAGGAUUAAUCUUUGCAUUCUUCUCAUUUUUUCCCCGAAUUUGGGGAUAAAAUUUGUCGCAGGGAAUUUGAUCUUAGGGAAACAUUGAGUUUGGUUUGUGAACACAAGCUACUUCUGAACACUAUUUUAGCAAACAGAAUUUUAGAAGCAUAAGGCUCUAGCAGAGGGCUAUACAGAAUUUUGCAUAAACUAAAUAACAACCGUUUCCUCCUGAAAUGCAGGAAAUCAAGCUGCACGGGUAUGUUUGCUGAUUGGGUGAGUGAAUGAGUGAGUCAAUCAGUGAAAACUCCAGGCUCCUUUACUCUUCCUACCUUUCUUUAACAUCCUUAAACUUUUAUUUGAAUUUUUUAAAGUUUGUAAAUUGUUUUGCUUGUCCAUCUUGGACUGUCAGUUUCUGCCACCAAAAAAAAAAAGGAGUAAAAUUAAUUUUAAUUGACUUUAAUUUCAAAAAUGUGUCACACCAGAUUUCUAAAAAGUUGCAUUCUCAAAACAACUAGGCAUUAACAACUAGGCUUCAAGAAGCCUUAGAAUAUCUGUAACUAGAGAAAGAUGUGUGGCUGACUGAUUUACCAAGGACUAACAAUGACACUUGGGGAUAAAGUAUUUCUGGAUUAUGAAGACAUAACCUUUUAUUAAGUCUUGAGCCCCUUACUCCAACUCCACCAACCAGCCAACAGUUAUUCAAGCAGGUCCAACUGAGUUUCUGCACUGGGCGAGGAACUCUGUUAAAUGCUUUGGGGGAUAAAAAGAGGCCCAGUGGUGUGGUGGCUCACACCUGUAAUCCCAGCACUUUGGGAGGCCAAGGCAGGUGGAUCACUUGAGCCCAGGAGUUCAACACCAGCCUGGGCAACAUGGCAGAACCCCAUCUCCACAAAAAGUACAAAAAUUAGCCAGGCAUCGUGGUACAUGCCUGAAGGAGCUACUAGGGAGGCUCAGGUGGGAGGAUCACUUGAGCCCACGAGGUCAAGGUUGCAGUGAGCUGUGAACGUGCCAUUGCACUCCAGCCUGGGUGACAGAGCAAGACCCUGUCUCCAAAAAAAAAAAAAAAAAAGAGGUUGAGUACAUGGUUGUUAAGAAGUUAAGAAGUUUGUUAAGGGAGGUAGGACCUCUACGGACCUGUGGCAAGCACUUGUUCCAAGUUCUAAGGCACAGGAGACCACUUCUAAGUCGGGGGACAAUUAUGGGCUCUGCAGAAACGAUAAUAGUCAAUCUGUGAGGACUGAGCAAGAAUCAAUGGAGAGGCAUAAUACAUGCACUGUCCCCAAGCCAAAAGCCUGGUAUAUAUUUAGAAUAAUCAGUACAGGACUAGUUUUGCCGAGUGUCUGCUGUGGCCAGAGUGUGGAACAGAAAGGGGAUCUUGCAGGUCAAAGCCGUGUACCCAAGAAUGGAUAAUAUGGUCAGCCUGUGAUCUCAGAAUCUGUGUGGGAGUGAGAGGAGAAAAGGAAAGGAGUGACAAUGGCCUGUAAUGAGAGUUCAAAAGGAGACUUCUAUAGCCUAAGAUAGAGAUAAUGUCACUCUAAGUGUCUCUGGCAGGAGCCAAGAAAGAGAAAGAAGAAACAUAGCCAAUUAUUAAGCUGUUGGGCUCUAGAGCUUACCCAGCCUUGCCCUAUUGGCCUGGAAUGAGUUUACUGGGUGCUCCGUAAACUGCUACUGCAGUGGCUCUCACCCAGUAGCAUCUUAAAGGUGCUGCUCUGCUUCUGAUAGUUAUGCCAACAAUGACAUAGUAGAAGGCACUGGCUGCUGCUUCUCAGAUGGCCACAACCCCAAGACAGCAUGUUAGGAACCACUUACCUAUCAAUCCCAAAGUCCUUAGGUCUUCAGCAAAGCUUGGACCACUUGGCAAAGUCUUCUGUCUCCAGAGGAAUGAUGGGAAAACUAUGGGACAAAAGUCAGGAGAGUGGUGCUGGCUGAUCCUGGCCUGGACAUUGACUCCCUGGGGACUUUGGUGCUCUCUCGUGCUCUCUCUGUCUCCAGUGAUAAGCUGACCAGAUGCCUUGAAUUAAGUACAGGGUCACCAACAUCUCUAAUAGAAUCCAACUGUGGAAUAGAAAAACUAUUUCGUCUAAGAAGUGGAUCCUAGCUGUCAAAUAAAAAAUCGCUGUUGAA
rnacentral:lncRNA from 1 species